CUAAAAAAAUAAAAAGAAAUUGGUAGUUAGUGGCUGAUUCCAACCAGUAAAAAAUAAUGAUAGUAAUUAAAUAGGGAUUAUUGGAUAACUUGAUGUAUUUCAGAGGAGGAGGUCUCCCGAAGAAGUUCAAGAAAAGAGUCUGGAGGUGAGGGCUGCAGAUCGAGGCAGGGCGUGGCGAAAUAUCUAGCGUGAAGAACCUUGCACUUGGAAACGACGGCGUUGUGAAUGUUAGAGGAAGUUGUAAAGAAAUGAGAAGAUAAUGCCAGAGAGGACUUGGAGGAGGAUCCAGUAAGCGUUCGAAGACGAUGCUGAAUCGGAGAAGAUGGGAACGGAGAAUUCUCAUUAUUCACCUUGUAGCACGAGUUGUCCUAAUCGCAACGCCAGAUCCAGUAGGUUCUAUGAGAAUAAUAAGAAAACAACCAGUAUUUUA